UCAGAUUUAGAGUUUAAGUUAAUUUUUUAAAAGUGUACCUGACUAUAUUAUGUGUGUCCAUCAUGAAGCAUUUUACUUGUCUACACUUUGAAUGAAAUUCAGCAUCAAAGGAUAGUAACUUUUCUGCACUCGUGAAUGAAACAUUACCGCCAAAAGAACUGUGAUGUCAUUUUUGACAAAUCCAUCAGAGUAACUUGAUCUUAUGCUAUCAUCAUGGCUGCCUGUAGGAAUAAUACAUUCUCCUGCUGAUGUUCAAACUCGGUGACAUGGCCGUCUCCUAUAUUAUUUGUGAAGAUGAAUAGAACCAUGCAGUUUAUCGGCUCAAGUUAAGGAACAUCUAAGCAGCAUUUUGCGGAAACGGGCUUUUGACGUUAUCAACGAGGUCAGAACUAGAGAACUAAACUGGAACUGAACUAAACAUAGUGACCAAACGCAUUUACUGUGAUUCGUUAUUCAUCUGAUCGGGAAAGGGGAUGAAAAUAGGAGUAAAGAAAACAAAGGAAGAAGAUUGAAGGGAUGUGGAAGUACGAGGGUUGUCCCAAAGUAGCGUAGACAAGUGGCGUUAUUCAGUUAAUCUAAGGCAAAGGAAGAUGAAAUUUGUGCCACAAAGGGUUCAAGAAAUUUGCAUUCAAAUAAUGUUUUAAAAUCGAAUAUUGUUUGAGAUUAAAUUAGUGAAAUGAAAGCAUGUUAGAUCAGAAAUUCUACAUGCGGCGCAAUGUCAAAAACAAAAAGUUAAAAUCAACAUAAUGAAUUGAAAAUUGGGCGGAAAAGUACUUUUCGAAUGAAAAAAUUCAAAUAAAACAUACACCGAUAUUUGAUAAUAAUUCUAUUAUUUACUCAGAAAAUGUUUUGGCUAUAACAAAACUUUUAAAUAUUUUAUAGCGCGUUUUGUGACAAGUUGAAAAGUUAAGUGGUAAUAAAAUGACGUUUUCAGCGUUUAAGGCGGCGCAGCAGUAACUGAUACAAUUUUGUAAAGACCAUGAAAUAAAUCCUAAGCGGCUUUGGAAGUAAAUGAAAUUAACAAAAUCGAUGAGAAAUGCGUUUUGUGAAUAAGUAGUUAAACAACAUUGAAAAUAUUUGAACAAGUAUGAUGACAAUAAGUGGAAAAAAGAAACCCCGAACGAUAUCAAUGGACGUCAAAAUGUUUAACGACACAUUUCGGUAAGACGGACGUUAGACAACAAGUAAUACAGGGAAAGUUUGGAGCCGACAGAUCGUUUGUACUUAGAAAAUAUUUAAAAACAAAACAAAACUAGAAAUAUAUAUUGAAUGUGCACGCAGAGUUACGA